rnacentral:lncRNA from 1 species
GCAUUUUUGCGAGUUACUACAUCCGGGCUAAGUCCCAAAGGCAUUUGUGCGAGUUACUAUAUCCGGGCUAAGUCCCGAAGGCAUUGGUGCGAGUUACUAUAUCCGGGCUAUGUCCCGAAGGCAUUGAGCGAGUAGCUAUAUCCGGUUAAAUCCCGAAGGUACUUGGCUUGGGAAUGAGCGACCUUGCUGUAAUAGUUUCAAUUAAUAUGCUCGUAAAAUCCCAG